rnacentral:rRNA from 1 species
AAAAGAUUAAGUUAUUAAGGGCGCACGGUGGAUGCCUUGGCACUAGAAGCCGAUGAAGGACGUUACUAACGACGAUAUGCUUUGGGGAGCUGUAAGUAAGCUGUGAUC